GACGAACGCUGGCGGCGCGCUUAACACAUGCAAGUCGAGCGAGAACCCAGGCUUCGGCCUGGGGGAAAGCGGCGAACGGGUGAGUAUCACGUGGGUAAUCUGCCCUCGACAUCGGGAUAGCCCGGGGAAACCCGGAUUAAUACCGAAUGGCCCAUCCGCUCUUCGGAGCGGCUGGGAAAGGUAGCUUCGGCCUCCAGUCGAGGAGGAGCCCGCGGCGGAUUAGCUUGUUGGUGAGGUAAUGGCUCACCAAGGCGACGAUCCGUAGCUGGUCUGCGAGGACGAGAGGCCACACUGGGACUGGGAAACGGGCCAGACUCCUACGGGAGGCAGCAGUGGGGAAUCUGGCGCAAUGGGCGAAAGCCUGACGCAGCGACGCCGCGGGCGGGAAGAAGGCCUUCGGGUUGUAAACCGCUUUCAGGAGGGACGAAGCCACUCGGGUUAAUAGCCCAGAGGGUGACGGUACCUCCAGAAGAAGCCCCGGCUAACUACGUGCCAGCAGCCGCCGUAAGAC
rnacentral:rRNA from 1 species